GGUUGGAUGGCCGAGCGGUCUAAGGCGCCAGACUAAGGAUCAGCUCCAAUUCGAAGCUUAUGUUGCACACUGUGUAAUCUGGUCCUCCGGGGCGUGGGUUCGAAUCCCACUCCAAUCA